UAGGCAACCAUAAGAAUGACAA
rnacentral:miRNA from 1 species